rnacentral:lncRNA from 10 species
CCAAGUUUCUCUGAGUAGGUAGCCAAACCAUCAUGAGCUUUGGAGGUUUUCUCCUUCUCACGGAUGUCUUAUUAAAAGAAAAUUCACCAGCAUCUAGCAGAAAAGUACUGUUUUCCGUAUUUUAUCAUCUAAAGUGCCAUACGACUCAGACAUUGUAUCACCGACUUACGCCUCACAAAAGACAUAUCAGGUUGUUACCAUUCCCUUUUUGCAAAUGAGAAACUGAGUCUCAGUGAAGUUGAGGGUCAUCUGCCAAUAGGCUUUUAUGGAAGAUAUUUUGGAAUGGAGAGAAAAGUCAACUUUCUUGUGUUUCCAGGAUGUUACUUCAGCAUGUCCACUGGAUACCUAGGUAUCCAGUAGGAUACUACGUAUCUGGAUAGAUCAAGGAUACUGAGAUGCUACGUAUCUCAGCAGAUCUGGUGGAGAAUUCCUUAAUUUACUGGAAAAGAAAGACUAAGCCAACAACUCUUUGGAAUCAGGCAGGGAAAAGAACAUCAUUUCAGACCAAUCGCGUUCCUAUGUGAGAGAACAAUCUGGAAAGUGUGGAUCUUGCCCAUGUUAAUGAAAGACCCUAGGUUUGAAGAGAUUACAAGACAAGUCAUCAGAACAACCUGUGGGCAGUGUAAUGAAGCCUGGCAGUUAUCACAACUAUCACCGCUUUAAAAUAUUAAGUAUGAUACACAGUAGCAUCAAUUUUUAAAAUGUGGUCCUGGUAUUCCUGGCAGAUCCUGAGAUCUUUCUAGGAAGCCAAUGAGGUCUUCUUACUCCUCUGUGUGAUGAAAUGGAAGGCACUCACACUGGUCACAGUGGUCAUCUCAAGGAAAAGUACUUGUGCAUCUGAGUUGCAAGCUAAACUAGCAGCUCUUCUCCUGGAAUGCAUUUUUUUUUUUUUUUUUUUUUUUUUUUUUACAGAAAAGAAUGAACAAGUGUCAGAAAAGAAUGUUUAUUCAGACUUGGAUAUUUUAAAGACAUUUUAUCAAAAAUAAACUAAGUGAGCCUGCCACUUCAAAGAACACAACCGACAAAUUGUCGUCAAUAAUACUUGUCACGUUUCUAAGCAAAAAUCAGUUAGGAAGCUUCUGUCUACCAGCAUAAGCUUGACUUUUACCUAAUGUAUACUAUAAAACAUCCAGCCUCACACGGAUAUGUAGUGAGAAAAGGUGGAAGUAUUUUAAUAGCCUUUUAAGAUAAUUAGAUAGUUUAGAUAACUAAUAAUUUAGGAGAUAAUAAUUAUUCUCCUUUGAUACUGCACUAAAAACUGGCAUGUAGUAGUUUUUUAAAUAGUUGUUGGAAUGUGGAAUUUGAAGCCACAUAAGUGAUUUUUUUUUUUCUUUUUUGAGAUGGAGUCUCACUCUAUCUCCCAGGCUGAGUCUCACUCUAUCUCCCAGGCUGGAGUGCAGUGGCGCGAUCUUGGCUCAUUGCAACCUCUGCCUCCCAGGUUCAAGCCAUUCUCCUGCCUCAGCCUUCUGAGUAGCUGGGAUUACAGGCGUGUGCCACCACACCCAGCUAAUUUUUGUAUUUUUGGUAGAGAUGGGGUUUCACUAUGUUGGACAAACUGGUCUUGAACUCGUAACACCGCCCAGCGGUUGAUCUGCCUGCCUCGGCCUCCCAAAGUACUGGAAUUACAGGCGUGUGCCAUUGUGCCUGUCCAUAAGUGAUUUUUUUUCAUAUUUUAUUACAUUACUUCAUAUACUUCAACCAAACAACAUAUCACAACAUAUUGAAGGCAAAAGCAGAUACAAAAUUCGGUCAUUUUAUAUUAAAGCUGACUUUAAUUUAUAAAUUUAUAAAAGUAUAAAACAAUAUAUAUCUUCUCACUCAUUUUUAUUUUAAAAAUAGUUACUUUAUUAAAAUACGUUAUUUAUGUUAAUAUGUAAUAGGCUUAUAUUGUCAUAUUUGCAUGCAUUCAUAUAUAUUUUUAACUGUCUCAGUUUUAAUUGCUCAUACAGAACAUAAUUAGUAGAUAUAACCCAUACAAACAGAAGCUCUUUGGGGUCCUCAGUAGUUUUAAAGAGAGUAAAAGCAUUCUGUGAUCAAAAAGUUCAAAAACCAUUGCACUCUAACAAUCUUUGAGCUUGCAAAAAUUACCUCAAAAAGCCAUUUUCAGUAUGGAAUGAAUGGGUGUGAUGGCCCAGUUUCCAAUACCUACCGUCAUUUAGCCCCCAUUCCUUUUGAGCUAGUCCAGAGAGGUGUGGCUGGUAGGCAGAGAGUUGAGGCCUACAGAGCUCUGGUCAUUUAUCUAAAAUAUAGUUCUAACUCUAAAAUGGACAAAGGCUAAUAGCUGCACAUUUGUCCUAUAAGACAGAGCCCCAGUAUUAGGUGGUUGUGUGUAUCUCUUUUCCAUAGCAUCAACCCUGUAUCUCAGUGUAGGUAGCAUGUCAUCUUCUAGAAAGGUAACUUGAUACAGACCCAGGCUUGAAGAUAAGAGCGCCGGGUUCUCUUCUCAGACUCACCAUUAACCAGUCUUAUGACCUGAGCAGUCUCUCUCUCUGGACUUCAGUGUCCUUAUUCACAAAAGGCAGAUGUUUGGUAACAGGACCAUACGCUCUCUAAGAUAUUUUUCAACUUGGAAAUUCUAUGAAUCAAUUUGGAGAAAUAUUUGAAAGACAAUAAGAAUAACAGUUGACUUUUAUAUGGUAUUUUAUACUUGCUAAAUUACUUUUCCUUCCAAAUUCUUGGCUGGUGUUAAUUUCACGGCAAUUGAGAUUAAGGAUUCCAGAGGCGAUAGACUGGUAUUGAGUUCUGAUGUGUCACUAACCAGCUGUGUGGCCUUGAGUAGGUUAUUUAACCCAUCUACAGCUCAGAGAGUUGAUAAGGUGAUUAAAUGAGGUAAGGCAUGCACAGUAUUUAGAAUAGAUUCCGGCCUAUGUUACACACACAGUAACUAUUAUUAACACCUGAUUCAAUGUAUUGUAAUUGUAUGUUCACAUGUCUCUCUCCCCUCCUAGACUAUGAACUCCUUAUAGAUGAAGACCUCAUCCUGCUCAUCACUGCAUUCCUAGCAUAGUGCCUAGGUCAUAAUCAGUACUCAGUAAAUGCUCACUAAAUGGAAGAGUGGAUGACUUAUGUGAUAGUUUAAAUCAUUGUCCAGUAUAUAUUCAGUUCUCGAUACCUCCUUCUUUGGGCAGAGUUUAAUUUUCCAUGUUAUUUGGGUUGAUCCAUGAGAUUUCAGAGGGCUUAAAUGCACAUGUAUAGUUUGGCUUGAGUCUUGUGCUCUGAUGAUGAUAAUGGUGAUGAGGAUAAUCCAUGAGAAUUGUCAUCCAGAUAGCCAGUGCUUCUUUAGCAUGGGCCCCAGAAUGACAGAGACAGUGUAGCAGACAAUCAUGCUCUGAAGAACAGCCUUCUAGCCAGUACCACCCCUAAUCACAGACAGCUCUCCCAGGCAGUGCUGUAUUUCUUUCAUGGCAUCAUGUGAGAUUAAGCUGCCAGAAUUUUGCUGAUUUGGGGUGAACAGAAUUGUUUAUAUAUAGACAGGUCUCCACACGAAAUAUUCCUGUGUUGUCCAUACACUCCAAAAGCAGCCCUGCCAUGAGCCAAGGCCAUCCUAGACCACCUGAUAUUGACCUGAAGACUCAUGAAUACAAGAAUACAUGUCUGUUGCUAAAUGACUGAGAUUUGGGGAUGGUUUUAAAAAUGACAGUAAUGUGGCAAUCAUAGAUAGAUUGAUACAACUGUACAAUCUAUGAGGUAAUUGUUAUUGUUCUUCCCAUUUUAAAUGUGAGAAGAUUAACAAAGGGGAUAUCAUCUAGAAAGCACUUGUUCGCUAAUAAUAGAAAACAGCUCAAAUUGUUAUACAGGAUAAUAGAACCCAAAAAGGCAGAGGUAGUGCAAAGAGAGCUCCUGAUGAAGCUGAGCCAGUGGGUCCCCAGGGUCACCAGGAUCCCAUUUCUAUGUAUCUAUUCAUAUUGCCUUUUGCCAUGACAGUUUCUUCUUCGAGCUGCUAUGGGCUCAUCUGUGCAUAUUUGCACAGGCAGAGUUCCUAGAGCCUGUACCAUCUCUACAAGGUCCUCAAGACUCACUCUGAGCAGACCCUCUAGGGUCAACACCAGUCCUUAUCCAUUCCCAAUUCUACCCUGUGUAUGUGUGUUUUUAAUCAUCACUCACUUAUUUAACAAAUAUUUAUUGAGUGCCUUCUCUGUCAGGUACUUUUCUAUGUAGUGGGAAUACACUAUUGAAUGAGGCAGGAAUAGUCACUGUGCACGCGGGAGUUACAUACUCUAUAUUGUAUAUAAUAAUACAGACAAAUAGGCUAGGGAGAGAGGGAGCUAGAUAAUUAUAUAUACAGAAACCUAAUGAUGGCUAUCAUUUACCAAGACCAAAAGCAGGCAUUAUGCCAGAGGUUUUUAAUUCAAUCUUCAAAAUAAUGUUACAAGAUAAGACUUAUUGUUCACAUUUUUAUCAUUAACAAAAUGGUACACAGCAAAAAUGAGUAAUUUACUAGGCUCAAACAACAAGGCUAAAUUUAUAAUUUUUUGUUACUCAUCUGCCAUGCACAUUGCCUGUCAUACAUGAAAAAUCCUGUUCCUCUUUGGAUUAACUAUAAUUCCCAUACCAAAUGAUGUUAGAAUAAACUAUCCUUUAUUAAUUUUAUUAAUUUAGCUAAAUCCCUUAGAAUGCUUUGGCUAAAUACAAAGUGCUUAGAACCUCAUUUAUUAAUCAAUUUUUCAAAAAUAAAACAUUUUCUGUAUCUGUAGAUACUACAUGUAUAUCAUUGGUG